rnacentral:rRNA from 1 species
UACGAAGGGGGCGAGCGUUGUUCGGAAUUACUGGGCGUAAAGGGCGCGUAGGCGGUGACCCAAGUCAGAUGUGAAAGUCCUGGGCUUAACCUGGGGACUGCAUUUGAUACUGGGUUGCUUGAAUUCGGGAGAGGAUAGCGGAAUUCCCAGUGUAGAGGUGAAAUGCGUAGAUAUUGGGAAGAACACCGGUGGCGAAGGCGGCUAUCUGGACCGACAUUGACGCUGAGACGCGAAAGCGUGGGGAGCAAACAGG